AACGAACGCUGGCGGCAGGCCUAACACAUGCAAGUCGAGCGCCCCGCAAGGGGAGCGGCGGACGGGUGAGUAACGCGUGGAACGUGCCCUUUGCUACGGAAUAGCCCCGGGAAACUGGGAGUAAUACCGUAUAAGCCCUACGGGGGAAAGAUUUAUCGGCAAAGGAUCGGCCCGCGUUGGAUUAGGUAGUUAGUGGGGUAAUGGCCUACCAAGCCGACGAUCCAUAGCUGGUUUGAGAGGAUGAUCAGCCACACUGGGACUGAGACACGGCCCAGACUCCUACGGGAGGCAGCAGUGGGGAAUCUUAGACAAUGGGCGCAAGCCUGAUCUAGCCAUGCCGCGUGAGCGAUGAAGGCCUUAGGGUUGUAAAGCUCUUUCGUGGGGGAAGAUAAUGACUGUACCCCAAGAAGAAGCCCCGGCUAACUCCGUGCCAGCCGCCGCAGUAACAC
rnacentral:rRNA from 1 species